rnacentral:rRNA from 1 species
GACGAACGCUGGCGGCAUGCCUAAUACAUGCAAGUCGAGCGAACAGAUGAAGUGCUUGCACUUCUGACGUUAGCGGCGAACGGGUGAGUAACACGUAAGGAAUCUACCUAUAAGCGGGGGAUAACAUUCGGAAACGGGUGCUAAUACCGCAUAAUAUCUUCUUCCGCACGGAAGAAGAUUGAAAGACGGCUCUGCUGUCACUUAUAGAUGACCUUGCGGUGCAUUAGUUAGGUGGUGGGGUAACGGCCUACCAAGACGAUGAUGCAUAGCCGACCUGAGAGGGUGAUCGGGCACAUGGGGACAGAGACACGGCCCAAACUCCUGCGGGAGGCAGCAGUAGGGAAUCUUCCGCAAUGGGCGAAAGCCUGACGGAGCAAUGCCGCGUGAGUGAAGAAGGCCUUCGGGUCGUAAAACUCUGUUAUAAGAGAAGAACAAAUUGUAGAGUAACUGCUACAGUCUUGACGGUAUCUUAUCAGAAAGCCACGGCUAACUACGUGCCAGCAGCCGCCGUAA